UUUCCGUAGGUGAACCUGCGGAAGGAUCAUUACUGAGUGAGGGCCCUCUGGGUCCAACCUCCCACCCGUGUUUAUUGUACCUUGUUGCUUCGGCAGGCCCGCCUCACGGCCGCCGGGGGGCUUCUCGCCCCCGGGCCCGCGCCUGCCGGAGACACCUUUGAACGCUGUCUGAAGUUUGCAGUCUGAGCGAUUAGCUAAAUUAGUUAAAACUUUCAACAACGGAUCUCUUGGUUCCGGCAUCGAUGAAGAACGCAGC
rnacentral:misc_RNA from 1 species